CAGCACAUCUACCAAUAGGGAGUGAUGAAAUCUACACCAUAAAUCAGAAGAAUAUCCAUCCCAGAAAAGCUGCUGUUGGUAGGCUAUGCUGAAGGUUAUCACCAUCACUGGGUCCCCUCCAACCACUCUCUGCUUCACUCCUGGGACCAUCACUAACCAAAUCCAGGGGUGCCAGGAUCUACAGCAAGGAAGAUUUACCUGCAACAAAAGUGUGUGAUGACCCCCAAGAGAUGGGAAGGUGUGCUCCAAUUGUUUCUGGGAGAUGAUGGAGGAGGAUGGCCUCAAACUCCUUGCCAGAGGAACUCAUUUAGAUGGCACCAACCUUGACUUUCAGAUGGAGCAAUACAUCUACAAAAGGAAAAGUGAUGAUAUCUACAUCGUAAGUCUGAAGAGGACAUAGGAGAAGCUUUUGCUUUCAGACUCCAACUAUUGUUGCCAUUGAGAACCCUGCUGAUGUCAGCAUCAUCUCCUCUCUUAUCCAUGGGAACGUUAAGAGUUUCCCCAUUUUUUCAUGAUGCUGGCUUUAGGUCUGUUGGACAUAGCAUUUAUUAUGGUGAGGUUUUCUCAACAUGAAAUUUUCAUGACUCUUAUGAAUAAGUGAUUUGAGAUUUUGGCAGAAGCAAAUGGAAAAAUAGAUAAAAUUUAUUGAUUUAAAUGUGUGAGCCAUCUCAUAAUCUCUGGAAUGAAGUCAGUUUAGCUGUGAUAAGUGAUCAUUUUGAAGCACUCUUGAAUUCUUCCUGAUGCUAUUUUAUUGACAGUGUUGGCUUUUAUAUUCAUCAAAGAGACUGGUUUGUAAUUUUUUUCCUUUUUGUUGUUGUGAUCUUAGUUGAUUUUGAUAUCAGGGUAAAACUGACCAUAAAAUACUUGAAAAAAAUAUUAAUUCCUUUUAUAUUUCAUGGAAUAACUUAAGUCAUAUCAGGAUUUGUUCUUGGAAGUUCUGAUAAAAUUAUGCCUGUGAAUCUA